rnacentral:rRNA from 1 species
AGGAUGAACGCUGGCGGCGUGCUUAACACAUGCAAGUCGAACGAUGAAGCGGAGCUUGCUCUGUGGAUUAGUGGCGAACGGGUGAGUAACACGUGAGUAACCUGCCCUUGACUCUGGGAUAAGCACUGGAAACGGUGUCUAAUACCGGAUACGAGCUUCAGCCGCAUGGCUAGGAGUUGGAAAGAAUUUCGGUCAAGGAUGGACUCGCGGCCUAUCAGGUAGUUGGUGAGGUAAUGGCCCACCAAGCCUACGACGGGUAGCCGGCCUGAGAGGGUGACCGGCCACACUGGGACUGAGACACGGCCCAGACUCCUACGGGAGGCAGCAGUGGGGAAUAUUGCACAAUGGGCGCAAGCCUGAUGCAGCAACGCCGCGUGAGGGACGACGGCCUUCGGGUUGUAACCUCUUUAGUAGGAAGAAGCGAAAGUGACGGUACCUGACAGAAAAGCACCGGCUAACUACGUGCCAGCAGCCGCGGU